AUUAGAGUUGAUCUCGGCUGGUGAUUUCACUAGUCCGCGCAGGUGCCAAGCCCGGAUUGGGCCCGCUGCUCCCCUCUCGUCUCCCGUCGUCGGACCACCGGCGACCCCUCUUCCAAGCCGCCAUCGUCCUCACCUCCGGCACUUCCUCUUCUCCACCACUCGACCCAGCUCAGCAGCAGGGCGGCGGACGGGAGGAUGAUGGGGAGCAACAACCCCGGCGGCGCUGGGGGAGGGGGAGGGAUGGCCCCGGGCACGGGGGCCGGCGGCAGCGACGGGCGGCACGACGACGAGGCCGUGCUCACCGAGUUCCUCUCCUCCCUCAUGGACUACAAUCCCACGAUCCCGGACGAGCUCGUGGAGCACUACCUCGGCCGAAGCGGCUUCCACUGCCCCGACCUACGCCUAACAAGGCUGGUUGCUGUAGCUGCUCAAAAGUUCAUUUCAGACAUUGCAAGUGACUCUCUUCAGUACGUGAAUCCACAACCUCACCAGUUUGCCUUUUCACCGCAAUGCAUUUCGUCUGUUGGUGCACUGCAAAGCCAGGGUUGCAGCACCUGUCAAAGAUAACAAGAGCAAACAACCAAAGGAUAGACGUCUUGUAUUGACAAUGGAUGAUCUUUCAAAAGCCUUGCGUGAGCAUGGUGUUAAUCUGAAACAUCCAGAGUAUUUUGCGGACAGCCCAUCAGCAGGGAUGGCCCCCUCAACAAGAGAGGAGUAGAAUCGAUUGCUUCUUCAACAAGAGAGGGCUAGAAUCAAUUGUUUCUUAUAAGCGUACCCAGUGAACGGUCGUGUCCUUCCCAACUUUAUGUAACAAAACCUUAUAAGCAUGUAUCGAAUGUCAGUUCUUGAUGUAUUAUGGACCCGUAGUUGCCUUCA